UUUUUAGUAUAAGUACGUCCCGUGCCCUAUUUGGGAUAUACUUAUACUAAAA
rnacentral:pre_miRNA from 1 species